GUGAAGAGGGAAGAGCCCAAGAUUGAAAGCUGGCGUCUUCGGCGUCCGCAUUGUAAUCUCAAGAAGUGUUUUCCGCUUCGGACCAUGCCUAAGUCCCUUGGAAAAGGGCAUCAUAGAGGGUGAUAAUCCCGUACAUGGCAUGGAGCGCCCGAAGCUUUGUGAUACGCUUUCUAAGAGUCGAGUUGUUUGGGAAUGCAGCUCAAAAUGGGUGGUAAAUGCCAUCUAAGGCUAAAUAUUGGGGAGAGACCGAUAGCGAACAAGUACAGUGAUGGAAAGAUGAAAAGAACUUUGAAAAGAGAGUUAAACAGUACGUGAAAUUGCCAAAAGGGAAGGGUAGGAGGUCAGAGAUGCGGCCUGGGAUUCAGCCUUGCUUUUGCUUGGUGUUUUUCCCAGAUUGCAGGCCAACGUCGGUUUUGGGCACUGGAGAAGGGUAGGAGGAACGUGGCACCUCUCGGGGUGUGUUAUAGCCUCCUACUGGAUACAGCGACCGAGACCGAGGACAGCAGCGUACUCGCAAGAGCGGGCCUUCGGGCACCUUUACGCUUAGGGCGUUGGCAUAAUGGCCCUCUACCACCCGUCUUGAAACACGGACC
rnacentral:rRNA from 1 species